UAUCGCGUGAGCAAAUUUAAAUUCGUCGUACAUUGUGUAAUUUGUUGUAUUUUUCACAAAGUUAACUAGAGGAUUUAGUACUGCUGGUGUUGUUUAAGAUAAAAUGCGUACGCAAUGGCGGAGGACAAUAGCUUUUUUGAUUUGCUGAAGAAACUCCAAGGCGAAAUUUUCUAUGAACUACUUAAAGAUUGUGGAUUUACAACGGAAAGCCGUUUGCAUUUGGAUCCUUGUUUGGCCCGCGAGUCAUAUUCGAGCAUAAUCUAUUAAAAUGGUGAAUGGAAGAAGAAACGAGAAGUAAUGAAGAGCAGCCAGUCAUGUCAACUCCAUCAGGAUCCACACUGUCAAUAAAUUCAAGUUUCGAGAAUCGCGUUAAUAAUUUUGACGAGAAAUCUAUUCAAGAUAUUCUAAGUGAAACAGCUAGUGGAAAACAAAUUUUAAAGUACUAUGCAGAUAAUAAAAUAUUAAUACCAAAAUAUCGUAAAUUACUCGCUGCUACUGUUGCCAAUUAUUUGAUUGGUGCUAAUAUUAAUGCUCAUCCAAGUACUUUUGAUUUAUUAUCGCUUAAAAUUGCAAAUUUUUUUUACAAAAGAAGCACAGGUAAAGCAACCUCUUGAUUCGAUUUCAACACUUCAAAUCUCAUAACGAUCCACAACUUUGCCUCAGGAAAUUUACUAUCUUCCUAAAAAAGGAAAGAAACCAGGUGGAUCACUAUAUUCGAAAUAUCACAGCACUUUGUCUAAAUUGAGGCAGGAUGGGGUUGUUUUAAAGAAGCGAGCAAUAGAGAAACUGCCUGAAACGAAGGAAGUAAAUAGUUUUUCUCCUGGUUAGUUAUAAUAACAAUUAAGUAAACUGCCUAUUUUUUGACAUUUAGUAAUAUUGGUAUUUAGUAAACACCCCAUUUUGUUUUUCUAACGAGAAUGAAUAAUUCAGGUGGCAACGAGAUAAGCGAUAAAGCUUGGCUUAAAUAUAACAUUGAACCCUACAGCGAAGUAAUAGAGAAAUGGGAGACCACGUUUGCAGUCAGACAUAGCUUUCUGAGUAACGCUGAGGACUUGAGUUCGAUUCUGG